UGGAAUAUUAUUUAUAUUAUAUCCUAAGAGUCAUCCUUAACCACCAAAAAGAAAAAGAUAAAAAGAAAUAUAAUAUAGACACUGCUUGCGUACAAAGGAGAAAAAUCCCCUCUAUAAAUUGCCUCUUCUAUUGUUUUCUCAAACAUCAAGCAAAUAGAAAAUACACAUCAAACACUUAGCAUUAUUUCUAUAAAAUUCCAAUAAUUAUGGCUUCCAUGGGAGUAAACUAUGCCCAUCUUCACGUGCAGCAAAAACGCCUAAAAGAGAAUUCGAAGAGAAUGGAAAAAGCUCGAAGUAGUAAUAAUGAGGGUGGCACGGUGAAAAAAUUAGUCGAGGAUGGUAAACGUAGUAAGAGUAAGAAAAUUUACCCUGGUGGUUUUGCUUCUAAUGAGAACUUAGGUGAAAAUAAAUAGUAAUUUAGGUUCUGCACAACAUAGUAAGGGCGAGCUUAUGUCAUAUAAUGUGCUAAGCUAGUUUGUACUUCUUUCUUUUUUCCUUUUAAUUUCUGUCUUUUUUCUGUAAUUUUUUUCACUCUAGCUAAUUAUGAUGGUUCCUGACUGUAUAGUACGUCAAUGCUUUGGUGAAGCAUUCACCUAAUUGGUGCAUGUAAGAUAUGGUGUUGUUGAUAUUACUGUUUGAGCCCUUGCAUGAUAAAAGAAAAAGUCCAAAUUGUAGCAAUGAUUCAGCUAUUUUUAUUAUUAAUAAUGAUAAUGAUGUAUUAUUCCCAAAACAUUUAUGGUUGGCUGCUGAUCAAGGCCUUGAGUGCUUAUCAUAAGUGACAGAAAGUACACACACUGAUCAUUGAAAUAAGGGAAAAUUAAAGGCCUAAAUUGCCACUUAUUCGCUUAGGCUUACUUUUGCACGAGGUUAAUAGUUGGGUAUAAAUUUUCCCCUGCCAUUACAAAACUGGCACCUGUGAUUUACGAAAAGUUCACUUUUGCCUGUUUUCAAAACGGAGCCAUUAAAAAAUAAAAGGUAAAUAUGAAAAAGGUCCAAAAUAGCCUCAUCUAUUGUACAAAAUAUUUACUUUAGCCCUCAAAAUAAUAAUUUGAUUAAUAUUUUCCCUUUUCACUAAGGGGUCCACUACUGUCAACCUCAAUUUAUGCAUAUUAAACCAUAAAAUUAAACUUGGCAAUUAAUUGAUACCCCCCCCCCCCCCCAUCCCCCCCCAAAAUAAAAAAGUUGAAUCUAAAAAAUUCGAAAAUCAAGUAGAUGUACCCACUACCCACAAUGCAAAAUAUAUUAAAAUCCAUAUGAACUAUAAGUAAAUGAUUGAAACACAGCAAUCAAAAAAAAAUCAAGUAAAAAAUUUGAUACAAUUUAAGAAAAUCACUAGACAUAACAGUGAUAAAAAAGGAAAUUUUCAAUUCAAAAUUAAAAAAAAACAAAAACAAAAAAAAACGAAUAACUAAACACACGUCAAAGCUAAAUUAGAACAAAUAUAACACACUACUAGAAAUCCGGUAAUUUGCGACCAAAAUUGGUCGGUCCAAAAUAACGACCAACGUUGGUCGGUAACUGGGAGAACAAUAUUUUAUAUUUAUUUUAAAUAAAUUACCGACCAAAGUUGGCCGAUAAAGUGGUCAACAAGUUGACCGAGCUAGUCAGACUUGUUUAGUCAAAGAAAAUUUCACAUUACCGACCAACUUUGGUUGGUAAUGUGGGACCCAGUUAUAAAAUUUUAAUAGUUAUAUUAUUAUUUAAAAUAUUUUAUAAAAAAUAAAGAAAUCUCACUUAAAAUUACUGACCAAAGUUGGUCGGUUAAUACUGGGGAAAGCAUUUACCGACCAACUUUGGUUGCUAUACUUUAAUUUCUGGAAAAUAACCGACCAAAGUCGGUAAUUAGCGACUAACCUUGGUCAGUAUACUAAAACGACCACCAAAAUAGCGACCAAACGUGUUUGGACGAGUUUUGGUCGGUAAUUUGCCAAAACCGACCAAAGUCGGUAAUUAGCGACCAACCUUGGUCGGUAAACUAAAACGACCACCAAAAUAGCGACCAAACGUGUUUGGACGAGUUUUGGUCGGUAAUUUACCAAAGCCGACCAACGUUGAUCGCUUUUUUGGACCGCUAAUUACCGAAUUUCUAGUAGUGACAAUAAAAAAAGCUGCUAGAGUAAGUUAUCACAACACGUGUAAUUUAGAAAAUCAUGUAAUGCAGUAGAACUUUCUCAAACUUUAAAACUAAAACUCAAAGUAUUUUCUCAAAAUUCUUACUCAAACUCGUAGCUCUAGCUUUUAUUCUCAUGGGCAACAUGACGCUACUCUCUCCGGAUAGCACGCGAUUACUAGAGCCGUCAAAAUGGACUUGACCCAUACGAUCAGCCUAACCCAACCCACUAUUUGGGUAGGGUUAGGCUAGAAUUUUUUGAGUCCAUUUAAAAUUGAGGCUUGUAAGUCCAGCCUAAAUUAAUUUGUUGGCCCUUGAGGCUUGACCGAGUCUGGGCCUAGGCUGGCCUAGGAGCCAAAAAUUAAUUAAAUUCAAAUUAAUUAAUUAUUAAAUAUUUAAUAUUUAAAAAAGUAAAAACUAAAAAAACUAUUAACUAUAAUUUAUAUUCUCCAAUCCUAUAUUGCUCAUUUAGAUUUUUGGCAUGCAUAUAAUAUGACAAAAUUAAUUUUUCUUUUGCUUAAUUAAUAACGAACUCAAAAAGUUUUAGGUGACCAAUAAUAAUAUUUUUUCAAAAGAAAAUAUUAUUUUAAGUGGUCAAUUAUCGGUUUGUAUUACUUUAGUAUAUUAUUAAUAUUUAAAUUGCUCUUCAGUUUAUAAAAAAUCAAUUUUAAAUACACAAACACAAAAAAAGAAUUGAUCACUAGCAAAUUUCAGGAAUUUUAAAAAUUUUAUGGACUACAAUGAUGAAAUCAGCAAAUGAUGUUAAUCCUAAAUUAGAAAAACCUCAGCAAAUAGACUUAUUGAAGCAAUCUCCGAAUUUGAGGAAAAUGAAAGAAAAAUACUAAGAAAAUAUUCAUGUAACUUUAAAAAAGAAGAGUUAGAGAUAUAGAGAAUUUGUAUUUCAAUUACGAGAAUCGUCGUUAAAUAUCAGUUUUUUGUACGCUCUAAGCAAACAGAAGUUGUUUAUAUGAUUAAUUGACUACGUCAUGCGAAAAUAUUUAAAGAUUUAAAGAUUUUUUUUUCUAAAAAAUUUGAAGGGUCGGCUAACCCUAGCUCGCGACCCUCAUAGGGCUGGGUUGGGCUAGCCAUUCUAAGGCCCAUUCAUAUGGCGGACCAGCCCAUCGUAGCCCAUCAAAUUUAAAAGCCCACGAGUUUGGGCUGGGCUGGGCCAGCCCGUUUUGACCGCUCUGGCGAUUACUAUUACUCUCUCACGAGUAACACAAUGUAUCAACUCAAUCAUUCCACUACUCUUUCAAGCAAUGAAUAUCAAAUAUAUUUAGCCACUACUCUUUCGUUGUAACAUAUAUCAACUCAUGAAGCUAGCUCCACCUUCCUCCCAAAAUUAAGCUUUUCCCAACUGUAACCAUAGAGGGCGGACUUAAUACAUUAGUUACGGGUUCAGUUGAACAAAAAUUAAGUAUGUCUGUUAAAAAUUAUAUUAAUUAAAUUUGUAUAAAAGAUAGAUUCCGAACUAAUAACUCAAAUGAGUUAGUGGUAGCAUAUAAAUUUCGAACUCGUAAAGAUCAAAUUCUCAACCGUUAUGUGUAAGCAUACUUAUAGCAAUAACAUUAUAUGCUUCAUACAAGAUAGCAUGAGUUAUAAGCCUCAAAUAGUAAAUAAGGAAAAAGGAGUUUUUCCUAUAGAAGAAAGGGAAUUUUCCAUCUAAGGAAUUAAUUAAUUAUCAAGUUAGGCGAAUACUACUAAAGUCCCUUUCCUUAUUGUCUUGUGAAACUAAUUCCAUUAGCUCCAAAUAUAAUACUGGAUUAGCAACUUAGAAUCACAGGACACACAUUAAAAAUGAGCCACAAGCUUCCUCUGAAAACCAAAUUACAGCACUAUACCUGCAGACAAAUAAUUUUAUUUCUUAGAAGAAGUUAGUUCUUUAAAUGAUAUAUAAGCUGUUCCAACUUAAUUAACCUUUAAAAAGUGUUAUUAGGUUGAAAAAAAUUAAUAAAAUUUCUGGAUGAUGUUGCAAAGGGACAUUAUAUAUUAUAGUACUUAAACAAUAAUAGUAACCUGUGGCUAAGAGGAAUACAUAGUGGUUUUAUUUAGUGACUAACUAAAGUACAUUUAAUAUAUAAACGGGUUGACAAUUUAUUAACAAGUUAGUGCUCGUUCGUUGUACACUUAAUAUUAGUGGUUUAAUCAAUGUCUACUUAUAUUUUUUUCUUUUAAAGGGGAGGUUAUUAUCUUUUGAUGGAAAACAGCUACUUUAAAUGAAAUAACUCUAGCAGUGGAGGAUAGAUAUAUAGGACAUAAUCGAAUUACUUCUCUUUAUCUCUAAUUUUCUACUAUAUAUACAAAAUGGUCUAAUUAUUGGCCAGCCUCCGACCCAAGGAAUUUUUAGAAAAGGUCAGUGGGACAAUCAAAAAGACUUACUUUUGACGUCCCCUAUGCCGAUCAGCCGGGGAAUGUUACUUACGAAACGGCGAGGACAAUGCCGAAACCAGAAAUUCGAUAAGGGGUUCAAAUUUCGACUCUCUUUACUAAUGGGCUAUGCAAAAUGUUCAAAGUCUGCUUUUUAAUGAAUAAUACGUAAUAUUUUAUUUUAUAUUUAGUAUAUUUUAUUUUAUAUUUAGGGUAGAAGGCUAGUAGGUAGUCGAGAGUUCCCCGUUAUUUUUUAGUAGUAUUAGUAGCGCUCUAGUUUUUUUGUAUUCUUUGACCUCUAGUAUUUGCCUAUUAUUUCGUUCGCUCCGUAUAUCGUAUUUUCCAGUUUGCUACUAUUUGAUGCUACUUUUUCUUUUACUUCUUGUUGUUGUUGUUGUCGUCGUCAUCGUCUUUUUCUCUUUUUCCUUAUCGUCCUUUGUCUCCCUCUUCUUUCUUUCUUCUUCCCCUUAAUUUCUUCUUCGUCUUCUUCCUCUUUCUCUCUUUUAUCUGUUUUUGAACCGAGGGUCUAUCGGAAACAACCUUUCUAUUUCGUUAGGUAUGGGUAAUGUCUGCGUACACAAUACCCUCCGCAAACUUUACUUGUGGGAUUAUACAUGAUAUCUUGUUGUUGUUAUUAUAUUGUUAUAUUCAGUUGACCAGUCUUGACCAUACGUAGCUUCGCCCCUAUCAUGACAGGUUCCAAUCACUUUUUUGAUAAGACUACUAAGUUUUCAUACAAAUAUAUCUUAUGGAAUCCUGCUUUAAAAGUCUAAAUUAAUUAAAGACCACUAAGAUCCAUUACCGGAAAUAUAUUCAGACAAUGUAAUAUGCAAUUUGCUUUUCCUAUGUGGCCAGCUUAAGCUCUUGAUAUGUGUCGAUGAUUCGAUGAAAACUAACGCAAUACUCUUAGGACAAAUAGUUAAGUAUCAGUGGAGACUUUGCUUUUAUUAAUUAUGAUUAAACUAAUCUUUCAUGCAUUCUAUGAAUUAUUUACUUUAUACUCACCCAUAAAACUAUUGGUGGACAUUUUCAAAAGCUAGAGGGAAAAGAAGGUAUAGCUUUCUAGACAACUAUAAUAAAAUAAAGAUAACUUUAUGUUGACCUUCAGGAUUAAUUUAAAAAGCUAAUUAACUAAUACAUCACAAAUUUUUACAACCAUAAGAUAAUUGGACAACAAGGUAUGCUUGUAUCUUAAUGUUGUUAUAUGAAGGGACAUUUUGUCUUAGUGGAGAUACAAUUAUCUAUUAAAUAAAAGAAAGUGUAGUUUUCACUGUCAACGCCUAUGUGGUCAUGAACUUAUUUGAAACACUGUUCUUAGAGAUCAACAAUACUUCAGGCACUUAAAAAAUACAGGGAAACUUAGGGUGUUUUCCUUCGAAAAUAUUUUUAAAAGUAAUUUUUUUACUUAUUUUCUGGUGUUUAGUUAUAUAGCAGAAAAAAGUUUUUGAAAAAUAUAUAAUUUAGGUAAACACUACAAGAGACGAAAUAAAUAAGGAAGAGGGAGGGUGGUAGGUUAAAGUCUAGGAACCACGAUGGUGGUGAUGAGGGUAGUGUGAGGGGUUAGGGGUUGAGGGUUGGUGGGCGGGGAAUAGCUGAUGGGUGGGGAAGGUUGAAAAAAAAAUAGUAUAAUUACUUUACAAUUAUAGUAAUUAGUAAAUGAUUGUGUCGAAAAGCAAGAAAUUUCACUUACUUUUAUGCUGAGAAAUGUAUCUACAUCCAAAGCAUGUCCACACUCAUUGAGCUAAAAUUGCAGAAUAGUACAGGCGAGUGUAUUACAUAAUUAAGAUUUCAUAUGUUAAUUAUUUAAAUUGAUAUAGUUUUAAUUCAAUCUCAAAUUUAGGUUUUGUAUGCUUGUCUUUCGGUUAGAUUUUGAUCAAUAGGGUUACAAUCUUUUCACUCAUUCUAAACGGGAUCUAUACAUAAAUUGUAGACAUGUAAUUUUUGACCCUCCCCAAAAUUUUACACAUUUUAGCGUUUAAAUAUUUAGUUUAGGUCUAAUCGAUAUUUUAACUAGUUUUGACUCCUUUAAUUUAUUUUAUUACAAAAUAUUUUCUUUUAUUUAGCUAAUUGAUAUUUUAUCUAGUUACUUUUAGUUUAUCUACUUCUCAUAAAAUUAAAAAAAUACAAAAAUAGUAUUGAUAUUUUAUUUUCUAAAAAGAUAAGAAGAAAAAUUUUAGACUAAUUUUACCUUAUUUUUAUGUGAGAAGACCAUUAUUUUGAGCUUGACUUGGUCCAAAAGAGGACCAAAUUCGGCCAAGCCCAAAUCCCUAACCUUUAAAACCCUAUAUCCCUUUCCCCUUUUAAAAAAGAAGAAAAAAGGAAUCCUAGGAAGACCAGCCUUGAACCCUAGGACUCCAACCCAGCCGCCUCUUCAUCUUGCUCAGGUCAUCAUUGGCCGGAAAAGACCAGCCACCACCAGCCCUCAACCAGCAACCUUUCUUCUUCACCAACCCUUCACCAGUCGCCCAACCCUAAUAACUCACCCCUACAACCAACAGCCGAUGCCUUUCUCUAAGGCAGCCGCCGCCAGUCGCCACCAUCCCCCACAAAACACCAUAGCCGCCACCCUAAAAUGACCACCCUCUGCCGCUGGCCACCCGCUCUUCCUUCUUCACCACAUGACCUCCUCCUCUUCAAAGAAUGAACCGCCUCUUCACUCUCACCCAUCUCCAACCGCCACCCCUAAAACCAUCAACUACCAAAACACACACACUAAAAAAAAGAAAAAAAAGGAACAUCUCAUUAUUCUUAAAAAAUCAUAGCAGUCCUAGAACACCAUAGCAAGCCUUAGUCCAUUCGGACUCCCCGUUCUUAGGCCUUUCAUUGUAGCAGUGGAAGCCCCAAAAUCAAUAAACCAAGCAGCCGAAAAAUCAAUUGUCGACCAUGAAUAGCAGCCAGAAACUUGUUUGUCGCAGCAAUCUCUUUGAGCUUUAGUUCUCGUAGAAUCUUCUACAGAUCUCAUCGCUGUUCCUCACCCUUCACAUGAUCUCGUUCAAUUCAAUUCUAUUUCUCACCUAGUUUCCUAAUUCAUGGUUUUGUUCGAGUGUUUCGGUCAGCAAGCUUGGUCGACGGUUCUUGUCCAUGGUUCAAGUACCGGCCUAAUUUUGUCAUUAGUUCAUCACUUCAGGUCUAUCUUUCAUCUUUCUUGAUGCUUUAUUAGGAUGAUAUGAUGUUAAUGGUUCUGUGAAGAUUUAGAUUUUGUGUCUUGCGUUUAAUUUUAUGUUAUUUAUUCUACCAUACUUUAACUUCUUUUUGAAUGCCUGCUGUUAAAUCAUUGAUCUUGUUUUGGUCGUGCCUAUUUAUUAGUGUCAUGAAUCUAAUCUUAAAUAUUGGUUUGAUCUAAUAUUAGUGGAAGAAUUGAACUUGGGAUUUAUUGGUUUAAAAUUGGGUUUGAGGUUUGGUUAAUACUGAGAAGGAAUUUGUGCUUAAGAAAGAAUGUAUUAUUCUCAUUUCAUUUUUCUGUUUGUUACUCGGGUUGCUAGGAAUAUAUUUAGGCCGACCACACAUGGGUAGGCAAUAUUAGGGCAUUCUAUUAUUAGUUUUCGAGGUGAGAGGUCGUUCCUUUAGUUAAAGUUAUUCGGAGAAUGUCCCGAAGCAUUUGUAGACAUUUUAUUCCGAGGAUGCUCCGAAGAACUUUAUAAAUAAUUUGGAGGCUUUGACGAGCGCCGUGGAGAAGUCAUAGCAUAGGUUAGUUUAAGAUUUUUCUUUUCUUUUUUCUUUUCUCAUAUUAGGUGGGGAAAAACCUCGAGCAUUUUAUGUGUUUAUUUUCUUUUGUUUGUCGUUUUUACCUCAAUUCGAUAUUCUUAAAUGGCAACUAGAUUGAGUGUGCAACCGUGACUUUCACGGGACUCAAGGAAUGUCUAACACCUUCUCCUUGAGUAAAAUGAACCCCCUUACCCUGAAUCUCUGGUUCAAACUGGUUUAAGAGUUAAAUGUGUUUUGAAGGGAAAUUGUUAUUUUAGAAAUGAUGACCUGGCACACCGAAACCAAAUGUCAGGUGGCGACUCUGAAAAAUCUUCGAAACACAAUAUUUUUGUCACUUUUCAAAUUGAAAACCCUUUUGAGCUUUAAAAAAUCUUUUCAUUAAUUUUUAAAUGGUUAAGGUAAAAAAGGGGUGUGACAGCUUUAGCGACUCUGCUGGGGAGUUGCAGGUUCGAGCUGAUACUUUAUCUUGUUGGUUUUUAGGAUAUCUGAUUGAGGUAUUUGUUUUCUUUAUUUGCUUUGCUUUGUUUAGUUUGUUUGUCUUAUUUCCUGUUUGUUGGUUAUUUGUUUAUCGUUUUUCCUUAUGUGUUUACCGCUUUAUAACUGUCAUUAUUUGCAAAACCCUGAGCCAAUUCUUUCUGCAACAAAUCUCGUAGUACGCGUCACGUACAUGAACUCUUUGUUAAAUCACCCUUAUUUUAACAGAGCUCGGUCCCGGUCACCGUGUCCCUUGUAAGAGACCUAUCCAAAUUAUGUCAAAAUGGGCUCGUGACCUAAAAACACAUUUAAUCAUCUCUAUGUGCUACAUGUUGAUUCUUUAAGGGUAAAAGGGAUUAUUUGGCGGACCAAUGAUGGUUGAGGAUAAAUGAGAAAGAAAAGUGGGUGGAGUGUAAAAUAAAGCAAGCAAGGCCCAGCUAUAUUUUUCUUUCACAAUGUUUUCAAGAAAAAGACCCCAAAAAAUGAAAAUGAAAAUUCCAAAAAAAAUUGGCACUUUCCCAUCAUUUUUCAAAAAGACAAAAAAAUAUGUUUUCUCCAAAUCAGUUGUUAUUUUGAAAUUUUGUCCCGUAUCCAAUCUUUUCGAACUACGCAUACCUGAUUCUCGUCUCUCGGACGGGAUAAGUAAGCAACCCACAUAGAGUCCGGACUUCCUAGUGAGUCUUAGGUUCUUGGCUUCGGGGGGGUCGUAGCCAAAUUUUGCAUGUUUAGCUGCAUUUGGCCAUAUGGGCCGUUUUUGCAAAAUAGGGUUAUUUCCUCAAAGUACUUUGUUAUCCCAUGUCUUAGAGCCCUAAGUCCACAACAAGGUGUCCUCUUAGUUUUAAGUUCCAUUCUUGUUGAAUUUGCAUCUCUAGCCGUGUUUGGCCACAUUGGCCAUUUUUGCAAAAUGGGUCACUUUUGCAAAGUAAUUUCUAGGGCCAUGAUUAUUGGGAGAUUGAAGUCAUAUAAGCCUUAGUGAGGUAUUUUCAUGCCUUUGCGGUCACCUUUUUUGAGUUUGCACUAAUAGCCACCCUUGGCCACGUAUGCUAUUUUGCAAAAAUAGCCCAAUCAUGCCUUGUAUAUGUCAAAUAGAAGGUGUUGUGGCGUCGCAUAGUAUCUUGAGUCACUGAUAUAUUUGGUCUUAUUUUUCUCAUUCAGGUAUGGAUUCAUGUACCAGAGCUUGAGCAUGACAGAUACCCCAGGACCAUCGCAUUUGGGAGCUUGUUUGAAGAGACUUUUUAUAUUUUUUAGUCCGUUUUCAUGUUUUCUUUUACUUUCUUGUCUUGUCUAGUUGUUUGGACUCUUUUAGGUGGUGUAAUAGUUUGUCAAGUCUUUUGUCAUCACACUUCCCAUUUGUAUUUGAAAACAAAAAACUUAGUUAUCAAUGAAAAAUCCAAAAACUUUUUGUUUUUUAGUUUAUUUUGUCCAUUACUUUUCAAGAACUACGUUUGGUCUGACUCAUGUGGAACAUGAUACGUAGGCAACCUACAUAGAAUUCGAUCAAAUUAUUAUUUAAAAAAAGGACAAAAAAGGGAAAAAAGAGAAUGAAGUUGUGGGACGUGAGGGGUGAGAGAGAAAAUAGUGAUAAUUAGAAAGAAAAGAGAGGAAGGAAAAUGAGCAAGCCAAGAAGUGCUAGAAAAGAAAGAAAAGAGGAGAUUGAAAUGAACAAAAUUGGAAUGAUACCAAAUGACCUUGUGACCCUCGAAGUCAUUCUAGAACCGUUAAUUGUUACUAGGUGCAUUGCACACAAUGUGAUAUUUCUAUCUGAAAUGCCCUAAGGCUAACAUGUUGGCUUUGUUUUGCUCCUCUUUGGUACUUUCUUUGUUAUCAUAAAAGAAGGUGGUUAGUUUGUGGCAUUCUGGCGAGUCAUCCGUACAAUAAAAGGUCAAAGAGCAAGGUAGCCAUAGCUAGCAAAUACUUGGACACAGGUGUUGUCGAUCCGCCUAAGGAUAUUGUUGAUUAGAAUCCGAGUUGAAAGACGGGUUCCUAAGGUUGAAACAACAGAUGACCGAAAUGUACUAAGCCUGGAUUAGUGGACGUCCUCUACCAUUAUUUCCCACUAACUACACUGAAAGCCUCGUCAUCAUUCCGCCAUUAUCACAAAUCUAGAUUCCUACUACUUCUAAUAUCUCCCUACAACCUUUUCACACUCCACCCCCCAAAACCACCUCAUAUCUCGCUCCUUUGACCCCUCAUGUUUUUGUAGCUCCUCAACCAACUAUUCUUCCUCGAUCCUCUAGCGAGACUGUGUUCAAAGUCCCCGAUGCCCAAUACUAUGCUCCAAAACCUACUUUCAAGGUAUCAGAUCCUACUCUUAUGCUCCUCAUUUUGAGCCUCCCGGUAAAACUGAAAAGCCUGCUAAGAUAGUGGAGCAAGAUGAGAUAUCUACGAAGAUGAAAAUCUUAGAGCAGUCUUUAAGAAACAUGCAAGGGAUAGGGAGCCAGGUGAGCGUGUCUUACAAAAACUUAUGCUUGUUUCCUGACGUCCAAUUGCUUGCUGGAUGUAAGAUGCCAAAGUUUGAGUUGUAUGACGGACAUGGGGAUCUCGUAGCCCACUUCAAAGGUCAUUGCAGUAAGAUGACAGGUGUCGGUGGAAUGGACGAGUUAUUGAUGGUGUAUUUAAGUUAGAGUCUGAGUGGGGCAGCUCUGGAGUGGUAAACCUGCCAAGGCGCUAACAAUUGGUACACACGGGACGAUAUGGCCCUGGCCUUUGCCUGGCACUUUCAGUUUAAUAUAGAAAUUGUCACGGAUCGCAUGUACCUCACCAAGAUGGAAAAUAGGCCUAAUGAAAGAUUUAGGGAAUACGGUCUCAGAUGGUGAGAGAAAGCUGGCUGAGUCAAUCCCCCGAUGGAAGAAGCCGAGAUGGUUGAGUACUUUCUUCAAGCUCAAGAGCCUACUUACUUUGGGCAUUUGAUCUCGGCUAUGGGUAAGCCUUUUAAUGAUGUGGUAAAAAUGGGAGAAAUGGUAGAAGAUGGGUUGAAGUCAAGUAAGAUCAUGAGUUGUUCUGCCUUAAAAGCCACAACACAAGCAAUUCAGAACGACACAUGAAGCUUGCUGGGUCAGAAGAAAAAGGAUGAUGUUUCCAUGGUUGUCUUAGGAUCACGACAUGGCCCAAUGGGUCUGCCUCACCAAUAUACUUAGCCUCGAACCCGACCCCAACCCCAAACCUAUCCCCGAGCUCUACAUAAUCCACCUCAAUAUUAUCCUUCGAACAACGUCCAGUCAUUUGUUCAAUCACUGGGUCACUCCUUAUAGUGAGCACCAGUACCGCAAAAUACUCGUUCGCCUUCAGAACAUUCCUGAGCACCCAAUAACCCUAGAAAACAGGGGAAUUGAGGGGAACACAUGCAGAGAAAUGGUUUCACGCCAAUCAAGGAAUCCUAGACAAACUUAUUUGAAAAGUUAAAACAUUCUGGCUUGAUUGAGCCGCUCCUUGGCUAUACUCCGGACCCAUAUGAAAAAGGUUUUUAUCCUACUGUAUGGUGUAUGUAUCACUCUGAUGUCCAAGGGCAUAGCAUUGAAGAUUGUCACACUUUAAAAAGGAAAAUAGAAAGAAUGAUUCAAAAAGGGAUAAUUGUGGUCAAAGGCAGUAAUACCCCAAGUGUUACACAUAAUCGUCUAUAGGUACAUGACAACGCACAAGUUGUUGGGAUGGUUUGCAAUGACAAUGAAUGUGCAGGUUCUUUCAAGUCCUUUGUGAGUCAUUUGCAGCAAGAUCUCUUAGGUGGUCAGUCGCUAAUUCAACAGUUAGUGCUGAGGUAGGGUUAGUCGAGGGAGUCAAUGAGCCACUUGGUGAAGACAGUGUGAUUGAAGUUGGUAAAGGCCCCAUUAAAUUUGAUAUGCAACUCAGUGGCUAAGAUCUCGAGCUUGGUAAUUAGAAAGCACAUCAUUUCCUUGUCGGGAAGGAGACUUGGCAGUUCAUUUUGAUAUCUCUUUUGCUAUAUGGUUAUUUUCGGGUGGUAAUCCAAAUUUUAUCUUGUUUGUUUUGGUGAUUCAAACCCUUCUAUCCUCUUUUACCUAUCUCUAGGAGUCUUGUUAAUUAGUUUUUUGUCUCUAUAUAUGUCAUCUAGGGUUUUUUUGAGGCUUUAAUAUAGAUUUUAUUAUGCUAUUCCAUCCUUUGGCCAAAUGAGAUUUUGUUUUUAUGUUAUUUGCAGUCUUCAUUUAGUUCUUUUCUUAUAUAUAGUUCUCUUCAAGCUAAUUCUAAUGACAUGACAAACAUGUGGAGUUUUUAGCCAAAUCUAGAAAGCCAGUCUAAUCAUGGAAUAAUGAAACAUAAUUUUGAAUAUAAUAAAAAGAUGCAUUUGAGGAAACAAGUAAAGAUUUACGCAUUCUAAGAUAACCUGAAGCUUGAAUUGAGAGAAACUGAGGCAGUUAGUCUGGAAAAUCAAGAGGUUGAUGAGAGCAUACAACAAGGGAAUGUCUCUCAAGUAGCUUGAGGAAGAUCAAUCAGUACUGAAAUGUAUUCUUCCACAUCGAGAUAAGGUUGAGUCAAGUCUGUUUUAAACUAGCAAGGGUCAUUCAUUGGGACAAAGGUAUCGCCUAUUUGCACUUUUGUUUGUGUUGAUCCCAUAAAUAGAUAUUAUGUACGAUCUCUUUGCUUAUCUUCAAUUGCAUGUUUGUACAUGGCAUUUUUAAAGUUUGGUAUAACGAAGUUAUUUUAUUCUGCUACCUAAACAUUUUUAUGUUUUCCUGCCGCUUUUGAGCCCUAAUUUAUUUUGUUUCAUAUCCCUUUUGUGGAAUUAGAAGUAGAGUUAAGAAUUAGAAAAUAAAAAGAACAAGAGAAAAAAGAAGAAUAAAAAACAUAAAAAGAAGAAAAAGAAAAGAAAAGAAAAAAAGGAGAAAAGAAAAAAGGAAAAAAGAGAAAAAGAAAGAAAAGGAAAAGAAAAGUAACAAAAUAAACCAACUUUGUGUUUGAACUAUGUUCGACGUAAUUCCUUCUAAGGAUACAUAGGUAGCCUUACUCUGAGGUUCGGUCCCAUCAAAGCAAAAAAAAAUUCCAGAUUCCAAGAAACUCGGGCAGCAGUUUUAAUUUUGCCAAAAGAUCUGAUUUCAAAAGUUGUAAUUUGAACCCUUUUAUCUUAAAUUAUUUUUGAGCCUUCAUGCCACCAUUUCUUUCCAAUCCUGCCAAAAAGCCUACAUUACGGUCCACCAAUCUUUGAGGAUGCCAAAUAAAGUGCGUGGUAAAAAUAUGAUCUUCUUGUAUCAUGGGUAAUACCUUGUUCUCAGUACAAGGAGAGAAAAUGAUAAAAUGAGAGAGUCUUAUCGGUGAAAACCCUCAUGGGUAGCGUAAGGCGACGGUGAGUUGAGAAAAAGAGCAAAAUGAGAUAGGCUUGAUGGUGAAAACCCUUCAGGGCACUACAAGUCGACUGAGGAUUGUUGAUCAAAUAGGAAAAUUAGAGCGCUGAAACCCAGUUUCACAACUUAGAGGCAUAACAAAAGUUGAAUAUUAGACUCGCUUGACAGAUUAAGCCACUUAAUCCAAAAUGCAUGUCAUGAUCAGUGGAAUUUGGCCUUCAAAUCAGAUUAGUUUCCACUUUGUUCUUUUCCUGGGUAUAAAUUUUUUCUUGUCAGAUACCAUCUCCUCUCGUUUUUCUCAUUACUUUGUUCCUUUUGCAUUGUUGGAGUCCCUUUUGAGUCUAUUUGUGUCGAAACAAGUGAUAAAUGACUUUAAAAUAUGCUACUAGCUUUUUAAUCACAAAGCAGAGUCUGGCAAGCACGUCAAAAUGGCAUAAGACGUGAGAGAAUUGUGUGUGUGCUGAGUUAGUGAUAAUAGAUGUUCUUUGGGAUUGAUGUAAGAUGCAAUGAUUUGGUGAAUGUUAGAAUAUGAGUGCAAUGCAUCGGGUAUAAGGUAUUGGACAUGAACGAAUCAGGAAUAUUUCUUGUGAUAAGGUUUGUCCGUAAAAAUGGUUGGUCGAUAACAAGCACUGUCUCCCAAAUUGAAGUCCAAGUUAAUCGUGACAAGUGCAAGAGAAAUCGUCCUCGUAAUCAAGGCCACAAAUUAACUACCAUGUUUUAAAAUCACAAUUUUUCUUUGUCUGAAACAGGGAUGAAGACUAUGUUCAUAUCAAAGCUUGAAUUUUUCAGGUGUAAUGCCCCAAUUCUGCUUACGCAAAGGCUAUUGAGAAGAUCAUACAUCACCCCUAGGAGACGCACUUCUUAGUCUGGGUCUUUCAGGUUAUACUUUUGUUUUAGGAGACGCACUUCCUAAAUUGAGAUUCCACCCCUAGAAGACGCACUUCCUAAUUUUAGUCCAUUCAAGUUUCACCCAUAGGAGACACACUUCCUAGUUUGAGUCAUUGAAGUUUCAAUCCCAGGAGACACACUUCCAAGUUUGGGUAUCUUAAGUUAUAUUUUCGUUUUAGGAGACACACUUCCUCAAUUGAGAUUUUACCCCUAGGAGACGCACUUCCUAGGUUUGGGUCAUUUAAGUUCAUUCCUAGGAGACGCACAUCCUAGUUGGGGUCAUUGAAGUUUUACCCUAAGGAGACGCACUUCCUAGUUUGGGUCUUUUAGGUUAUAUUUUUGUUUUAGGAGACGCACUUCCUAAAUUGAAAUUUUACCCCUAAGAGACGCACUCCAUAGUUUUGGGUCAUUUAAGUUCAUUCUUAGGAGACGCACUUCCUAGUCUCAGCAUUGAAGUUUCACCCCUAGGAGAAGAACUUCCUAGUCUGGGUAUUUAAGUUAUAUUUUCGUUUUAGGAGACACACUUCCUAAAUUGAGAUUUUACCCCUAGGAGAUGCACUUCCAAGUUUUGGGUCAUUUAAGUUCAUUCCUAAGAGACACACUUCCUAGUUUGAGUCAUUGAAAUGUCACCCCUAGGAGACGCACUUCCUAAUCUGGGUAUUUCAGGUUAUACUAUUUAGGAGACGCACUUCCUAAAUUGAGAUUUUACCCCUAGGAGACGCACUUCCUAGUUUUGGUUCAUUCAAAUUUCACCCUUAGGAGACACACUUCCUAGUUUGAGUCAUUCAAGUUUUAUGCAUAGGAGACGUACUUCCUAGUUUUGGUUCAUUCAAGUUUCACCCCUAGGAGACACACUUUCUAGUUUGAGUCAUUCAAGUUUUAUCCUUAGGAGAUGCACUUCCUUGUUUGGUUCAUUCAAGUUUCAUCCCUAGGAGACGCACUUCCUAGUUUGACUCGUAUGAGUUCAUCCCUAGGAGACGCACAUCCUAGUCGAGUCUUUUGUUUUACUCUAAUCAUUGCAUUAAUAGCAUAGAUGAUUUGCAGUUUUGCUAACAACACACAAAUCUUUCUAGUGCAAACUGGGGCAGAAAAUUUUGUUUUUUUUUGUUUUUUUUGAUUGCAGGCACCCACUUGGAGAACGAGGAAGUUCUUUUCAGAGUUACUUCAAAUUUCAAGUCAGUAGCAGGCACCCACCUGAAGAACGAGGGAAGUCAUUUCAGAAUUCAAUUCAAGCUAGAAGUAACAGAAGCUCUCCUCAAGAAUGCGAGUUAACAAGUUCGAGAUGACUGAAAGAAGUCUCAAUCCAGAAUGAAAAAAAAGAAGUAAAUCCAAAUGCAGAAGCAGACAAAAGAUGUGAACUGCUCAAGACAUGAUUGAAGUUACAAGCACUGCAUGUCCGGUCUUAAUCCGAUAAAGUCGUGGAAGAAUGAAUCAACACAUGCAGCUAGCAAGCAUCAAGGUUCAAAUCAAAAGUCUGCAUGAAGAACUAUUGAAGACUCAAGAUCAUGCUUCAGUAAACUUAUAGAUAGGAAUCUUGUAACUUAUAGCGGAUAGGCUUGUUUAGUUCUUUUAGAUUUUGAUUUGAUGUAAUGGCAGGAACCGCAGACCAGAACCUCGACGGCACCUCAAUCGGCUCUCCACCUCGGUAAACUCCGUCACUCUUCCUACUUCUGAACUACACGUGGCCUGAUUCCCUUAUAGUCAAGGAUAUAUAGGAAGCUCAGAUACUAGGGCUUGGUCACAUUCUCCUUUCUUUUAGUUUUGGUCUUUCUAAAUAAAGGUUGAGUCAAAAAACCUAUCUCGUUAUUCUUUGUUUGAAAACUCUUCGUAUUUCCAGUCAAAGAGGGGCAGAUAUAGACAUUAAUUUUUUACCCUCCCCUAAAUUUUUCACAUUUUAGCAUUUAAAUAUUUAGUUUAGGUCUAAUAUCGCUAUUUUAACUAGUUUUGACUCAUUUACUUUAUUUUAUCACAAAAACGAAAAUUACAAAAAGUAUUUUCUUUUAUUUAGCUAAUUGAUAUUUUAUCUAGUUAGUUUUGGCUUAUCUACCUCUCAUAAAAUAAAAAAAAAUACAAAAAUAGUACUUCCUCCGUUCCAGUUUAUGUGAACCUCUUUCCUUUUUGGUCCGUUCCAAAAAGAAUGACCUCUUUUUAAAUUUGGAAACAAUUUAGCUUAAACUUAUAAUUCUACCCUUAAUGAGAAGCUUUUAUAACCACACAAAUACUAUGGACCCCUUUUUAACUUGUUUAGGACCACAAAUUCCAAAAGUCUUCAUUUUCUCUUAAACUCCGUGCCCAGUCAAAUAAGUUCACAUAAAUUGGAACGGAGGGAGUAUUGAUAUCUUAUUUUUCCAAAAAGAUAAUAAGAAAAAUUUUGGACUAAUUUUAUCUUGUUUUUAUGUGAGAAGACCAUUAUUUUGAGCUUGACUAGGCCAAAAGAAGCCCAAAUUCGGCCAAUCCCAAAUCCCUAACCCUUAAAGGCCUACAUCCCUUUUCCAUUUUAAAAAAAGAAAAAGAAAAAAGGAACCCUAGGGAGACCAGCUUUGAAACCUAGGACUCCAACCUAGCCAAUCUUGCUCAGGUCAUCACCGACCGAAAAAAGACCAGCCACUACCAGCCCUCAACUAGGGACCCUUUUACUUCACCAACCCUUCACCAGCCACCCUACCCCCUCUCCCCCCCUCUUCACCAACCCUAAUAACUCACCCCUAAAGCCAGAAGUCGACCCCUUUCACUAAGGCAGCCGCCGCCAAUCGCCACCAUCUGCCACAAAACAACAUAGCUGCCACCCUAAAACGACCACCCUUUGUCACCGGCCACCCACUCCCCCUUCUUUACCACACAACCUCCUCCUCUCCAAAGAACGAAACCGCCUCCCAAACCUCCACCCUAAGAUGCCAGAAACAACCACAUAGUCAUUCACCUUCACCACGCUGCCGCUAGACUUCAUCACCGGUGGCUAACGACCCAUCUCCAGCCGCCACCCCUAAAACCAUCAGCCACCAAAACACAUACACUAAAAAAGAGAAAGAAAAAAAAUGGAAUGUCUCCUUCUUCUUCAAAAAUCACAGCAGCCCUAGAACACCAUAGCAAGACUUAGUCCAUUUUGGAUCCCGUUCUCAGACCUUUCAUUGUAGCAGCGCAAUCCCCAAAAUCAAUAAACCAAGUAGCCCAAAAAUCAAUUGCCGGCCAUGAAUAGCGGCCAGAAACUUUUUUGUCGCAAUAAUCUCUUUGAGCUUCAGUUUGUGUAGAAUCUUCUACAGAUCUCGUCGUUGUUCCUCACCCUUCGCACGAUCUUCUUCAAUUCAAUUCUGUUUCUCACGUUGUUUCCUAAUCCGUGAUUUUUUCGAGUGUUCCAUCAGCAAGCUUGGUCGACAGUUCAUGUCCAUGGUUCAAGUCCCGGCCUAAUUCUGUCAUUAAUUCAUCACUUCAUGUCUAUAUCUCAUCUUUCUUGAUGCUUUGUUAGGAUGGUACGAUGUUAAUGGUUUUGUGAAGAUUUAGAGUUUGUGGCUUAUGUUUCAUUUUGUGUUCAUUAUUCUACCAUGUUUUAACUUCAUUUUGAAUGCCUGCUGUUAAAUCAUUGAUCCUGUUUUGUUCGUGCCCAUUUAUUAGUGCCAUAAAUCUGAUCUUAUAUAUUGGUUUGAUCUAAUAUUGGUGGAAGAAUUGAACUUGGGAUUUAUUGGUUUAAAAUUGGGUUUGGGGUUUGGUUAAUACUGAGAAGGAAUUUGUACUUAAGAAAGAAUUUAUUAUGCUUGUUUCAUUUUUCAUUUAGUUACUCGGGUCGCUAGGAGUAUGCUUAGGCCAACCACACAUGGUUAGGCAAUAUUAGGGCGUUCUAUUAUUAGUUUUCGAGGCGAUAGGUCAUUCCCUUCGUUAAAGUUAUCCGGGAAAUGCCUCGAAUGAUUUGUAGAUAUUUUAUUCCGUGGGAUGCCCCGGAGAACUUUCUAAAUAAUUUGGAGGCUUUGAGAGCGUCGUGGAGAAGUCAUAGCAUAGGUUAGUUUAGGAUUUUUCUUUUCUUUUUCUUUUUCUUUUCUUUUAUUAGGUGGGGAAUAACCUCGAGCCUCUUGUGUAUUUAUUUUCUUUUGUUUGUCGUUUUUACCUCAAUUCGAUAUUCUUAAAUGCCAACUAGAUCGAGUAUGCAUCUGUGACUUUUACGUGACUUAGGGAAUGCCUAACACCUUCUCCCCGAGUCAAAUGAGCCUCCUUACCCUAAAUCUCUCAAACUGGUUUAAGAGUCAAAUGUGUUUUGAAGGGAAAUUAUUAUUUUAAAAAUGGUGACCUAGGACAGCGAAACCAAAUGUCAGUGGCGACUCUGAAAAACCCUUCGAAACAAAAUAUUUUUGUGUCUUUUCAAAUUGAAAACCCUUUUGAGCUUCAAAAAAUCUUUUUACUAAUUUUAAAAGCGUUAAGUGAGGUAAAAAAAGGGUGUAACAUAAAUAACUGACCAUCUUCAUUAUUUACUUUUUCUACCCAUAUAUACAUAGAUUAUGCAUCGAUUAUAUACAAUCUUAUACAUACAUAAAUAAAUUAUGCAUAUAUUAUACCUUCAUUGGCUAAUUGUAGUUUAAGCGAUUAGGUGGACAACUAUUUAAGUUAGUUCUUCAUUUUAAACCAAUAUUUUAUAUCAGAUCAAUCUUGGAUAUAACCUGAUGGGUCAAAUUAAUAAACGGAUCGUAAGUCAAUCCAUUUAAGUUUGGACAAGUUACAAUAAAUGUGUUGAUUUUACUACCUCGUUUAUAUAACCUUGUCGAAAAGGGUCAAAGUACCAGUCUACUAUACGAAAUAUCUUAUUAACUUUACUCUCUUAUAUACUUCGUGAUCAUUUAUAAUUUUAAUAUGGCAAGUCGUCUUGUAUUUGCUCUAAUUUUUAAUAGAGGUCCACCAUAGAUUGUGUUGAUUCACGCACAAAAAUAUUUAGGGAAAAUGCUUCAAAUUUACCUUUUUUUUUUUGCUAAGAGGAGAGAUUAUUAUAAAUACAGAAAUUUACGAAGUGUCAUUACAUGCCGUGAUAGAUCUAAACGAUACAGUCCAUAAUAAGUCUUUGCGGAAAGUAGAUAAAGUAAAUAAAGGGGGUUCACUCCAGAAGUGGUCUUCACACUCAGCGUUAAUAGGUGAGUUGUAGCUGCUCCCAUACUACGCCAAUGUGUGCGGCACUUGGUUUAGCUCACUGCAGAUAUGCCUUACAUCCGAAUGGCUCAAUGUAUCCAGCAGGAACCUGCAGUCAUGUAGAAAAUUAACCUUAGCUUUAUUGUGCACUUUGUCAUGUAAUAGGGAUAGUAUUAACUGGCAGUCUGUUUCCACUAUAAUUGGUGUUUGAUUUUUUUGUGAAAGCAAGUUCCAAUCCUUUGAGUAAGCCAAUAAUUUCUCCUUGGAUUGGUGAUGAGGCCACGAUGUGGCUAGAUAAUCCAUCAAUCCAGUUGCCAUCUGAGUCUCUGAUUAUACAUCUGCUCGUCUGAUGUUGGAGUUUUUUUUGGUAUGCACCAUCUAUAUUGAAUUUAUAGAUAUUUUGUGGUGGCGGUGUCCAUUCUAUAGGUGUUUUUAGCUUGAGAUUUCUUUUUUUGAAGUUAUGAUUUGUGAGGUGAAGAUAUUCCUUGCAUGUGUGAACACUUUAUGAAUGCCAAGUUCCGUUGAACAAUUGUUGAAGUAGUUGUGAUUGCGGUUAAGCCAUAUAUGCCAAAGGAUAAUUGGCAUUAUAGUUGCCACUAGGAUUAAUGAGUAAUUUGGUUGGUUGAUAUUCAUUGUAGAGGUAUAUGCCAUUUUUAUUCAAUCUAGUCCGUUUGAAGUUGGUGUUGGAGUGAUGUUGAAGUUGAGAUCUCCCCAUAUGGCGUUGUUCAUAGGACAUUGAAAAAACAGAUAGUUGGUGUUUUCCUCCAUCCCCCAAUGUUUGAGUUAUUAGAGUCAAUUAUUUUCCGUUGGCUCAGGACAACUGCAGUGGGGAGUCUUUAGUGGACUAGCAACCACAAAAAAGUUUUGAGCUUGUUGUGGCAUGGUGCUUUUCAGAUCCAACAAUAGUUAAAAAUUUUCUGAUUAUGGAUUGAUCAUGUGCCCUUGAUAAAAAGGUUGUAUGCAGAUUUGGUUGUGAAGUUCCCAUCUUCUGUUUUUUUUCUAGAAGAAUGAUUCAUUAAAGUUUUCAGAGAAGGGUAUGUAUGAAUGUGUUGUAAGGUACUUGUGCAUGUGAUUUAAAAUUACACUAUAUUAUUGUCACGACCCAAAAUCAGCCGUCGUGAUAAUGUCUUUCGUGGAAUUAGGUCAGCCUCUACUUAACAACUCAUCACAAUAAGAAUAACUUUGAAAAUAACAGCAGGAACAUUUAACAUUUAAGAAACCUUUUUGAAAACAGAAUAAAUCCCAAAAUGUGAUAUAAUCCAACCUAAAAUCGGGGUGUCACUGAGUACAUGAACGUCUAAAUCAGAGUACAGUCCACUACAUUAUCAAAAGAAAUAAAUUGAAAUAAAACUAGUGAAUAAGAAGGAGAGUCAAGGCAUACAAACGUCGUGCAACUACCUUGAUGGUCUCCGAGCUCUGAAGCCUCAACCAGCAACCGCCGCCGUGACCAGAAGCACCUGGAUCUACACACGAGAUGCAUAGAGUAAUGUAAGUACAUCCAACUCAGUAAGUAACAGUCUAAACUUUGGACUGAAAGGUAGUGACGAACUCAACCAGUGCAGAUAUAAUUGAAAUAAUUGUGCAGAAACGUAGGCAUGCUUUCAAAUUAAAUAGGCAGCUCAAAACAGUAAAGUAAAGCAGAUUCGAAUCGUAUAAAGAAUAUAACUAUGUUACCUCUAUAUGCCAAUGCACAUACUGUACAUGAUGCACCAUGUUGUCAACCUCAUGUGCUUAUACUCUCAAAUGCUUAACCACUCGGUAAUGUAUAUGGCCCAUACGACCCAACCCAGAAUAUAUACAUCACUGAAUAUAAGUCACCCAGUAUCGAAGAAGGCCAAUCCAGCUCUAUGGAGAAGAUCCAUCUCCACGUAUCAAGUACUUCGGACAAGAUCCAUGUCCAAUAAAGAUCCAUCCCUCAAUAGUAUCAUCCGCGCUCACUAAGGGUGUGUUAUAGACUCCGGAAGGGCUCUUACAGCCCAAGCGCUAUCAUAACAUCAAUAUAACCAGGCGUGCAGCCUGAUCCCAUAACUGUCACUUAUAAUCAGGCUCUCCGCCUCGCUCAGUCAUCAAUUUCUCCAGCCUCACUCACGUGCUCAAAAUGUCAUUCAAACUAAUCCAAAACAAUGAUACGAUGUAUCAAUAAGCAACAACUGAGACUGAGAUAUGAUAUGAAAUACAUGAACAUGACUGAGUACAUAAUAUUAAUGAAAUCAGUGAGAUGACAACAAGAAACGAUACUAGGGGUCCCACAGUACUGGCAUAAAGCCUAAACAUGAUAUCUAGCAUGAUUUGACAGUUCAAUUACUUUAUCAUAUGAUGAAAAUAUGGAAAUCAACAAGAUAGAAUUACUAUACAGUGCCAUGGAAUCACCAGGUCACAAUUCUCACACUGCACGCCUGCACGCCCGUCACUUGGCCCGUCUCAGAAUUCGGGGCUUCGAACCCUCAGAACCAAGUUUGAAAGUGUUACUUACCUCAAUCCGGGUUAAAUCAUACUCCACAAUACAUUUUCUCCUUAGAUCGGUCUCCAAACAUCCCAAAUCUAUUCACAAAUAGUACAAUACAAUCAAUAAAGGCUAAAGGGAUCAAUUCCACAAAAAAACUACUAAAUUAUAGUCAAAAUCUGAAAUCGGCUCAAACCCGGCGGGCCCACAUAUUGAAAUCCGAUAAGACUCACAAAACAAAAGCCCAUUCUCUCACGAGUCUAACCAUACCAAAUUUAUCAAAAUCCAACAUCAAAUGGUCACCCAUAUCCUCAAAAUUCAUUCACCAAAUCCCCAGCCUCAAGCCCCCAAAUUUCAUCUCAACACCAUACAAUCUAGGUGAAAAAAUCAAUGGGGAAACAAGAUUUAUGAUUAAAAAAUGAGUACAAGAAGCUUACCUCAAUAAUCCCCUCGAAAAUCCUCUAAAAUCGCCUAAGUCCGAGUCUAAAAUGCUGAAAUAAAACUAAAAUCGCGAACCCUUAUUUUUAAACAUGCUGCCCAGGCUUUUCGUACCUGCGGUCUUAUAUCCGCAUCUGCAAUAAAAUCCCCGCUUCUACGGAACUCACUUACCCCAGCUUCCUCUGCUUCUGUGAUCACUAUACUGCAUCUGCGCAGAUCGGAGGUGCGAGAAAUCCAUCGCACCUGCGGACCAAACUCACAUCUGCCCAAGUACUCGCUUCUCUAACCAUCGCAGGGGCGGGAAUGUCUUCGCACCUGCGACCUCUACCCAACUCUUCAUUGGUCGCUUCUGCGAUGCAUUUCAUGCUUCUGCAGGCUCGCAGGUGCAGUUACACCAGUAGCAGUAACACUUCAGCUGCUUCAUCAACUCAAAAUCAAGUCUAUUAACCACCCGAAUUCACCCCGAGGCUCCCAGGACCUCAACCAAACAUACCAACAAGUUUUAUAACCCAAUACGAACUUAGUCGAAUCCUCAAACCACUUCAAACAAUAUCAAAAACAUGAAUUAUAUUCGGAUUCAAGCCUAAUGAACUUCUAAACUUUCAAGUUCUACAAACGACGUCGAAACCUAUCAAACCACGUCCGAUUGACCUCAAAUUUUGCACACAAGUCAUAAAUGACACAAGAAACCUACUCUAACUUUCAGAAAUCCAAUCCGACCCCGAUAUCAAAAUUUUCAUUGCCGGUCAAAUUCACCAGAAUUCCAACUAUCGCCGAUUCAAGCCUUAUUCUACUAUACGGAUCUCCAAAUCAUAUACCGGACGCACUCCUAAGUCUAAACUCACCUAACAGAGCUAGUGGAACCAUCAAAGUUCAAAUUCGAGGUCGUUUACAUAUAAGUCGAUAUCCGGUCGACUUUUCCAACUUAAGCUUUCAAUUAGGAGACUAAGUGUCUCAAUUCACUCCGAAUUCACUCCGGAACCGAACGAACCAACCCGAUAAGUUAUAAUACAGCUAUAGAACACGAGAAACAGGAAAUGAGGGAACGAAGCUAUAACUCUCGAAAUGACCGACCAGGUCGUUACAAUUAUACUUCAGGUUGGAGCUCCUUUAAGAAAUAAGGACAAAUAUAAUAUAAUUUAUUAACACGAAAAUAUGAAUAACCCCUAAGUAUCAUAGAUGGUAAAAUUAAUAUUUUUUCACAUAAUAGGGGAGUUCUUUUACCCUUUUUCCCAACUUUAGACUGUGUUCUCUCUAGUUGUGCGCAUUUUCUUCAAAGUAACUUAGAUGCACAAUUUACUAUAAAUAUUGUGCAUUAAGCUACUUUGAAGAAAAUGCGCACACUAAAUGCGAAAAACCACAUACUUGUGCAUCUAAGUUAAAUGAUGUUGGUGCACCGAUGCACCCUUACACCUAACUAAUUUAUUUUUAAUGGAAAAAUAGCUGCCAAAAACUUAGUACUUCUAUAACUACUUAGUAAAAACAAAGAAAAUUCUUAUCUUCUAUUUCUUCUGUUUUAGUUAAGUUUUUCUUUAAUCUCUACUUCUUCAAUUGGUAAAGAAAUCUUAUGCCUUAUCCAAAUUGUUAAAGUUUCUAGAGAAGGCUGACAGCUAACUCCAUUAAUGUCCAACUAUGCUCAGAAUUUUUAUUACUAUUAGUGGUUAAGCCACCUUAAAAAAGAUAACCACUUUAUACAUUGUAACCCUCCACUUCCUUAUCUGUGUUGUAAAUUAAACCGUUCUGUUUAAAUAAUAUUAUAGCCUAAUGGUCACCAUUAGCCACCCAAAGACCAAAAAAACAAAAAAACAAAAAAAAAGGGAGUGCAUUGGCUUGCUUACAAAGGCGAAAAAUCCCCUCUAUAAAUUCCCUCGUUUAUUGUUUUCUCAAACAUCAAGUAACUAGAAAACACACAUCAAACACUUAGCUAUAUUUCUCUCUGGGGAUUAAAUCCAACUAAUUAUGGCUUCCUUUCUAAUAUCUUUUUUUUUUAUUUAAAUGUUUUUUUACUAGCUUGUUAUGAAGUUCCUUGGCUGUACGUCAAGCUGUAGUGAAGCAUUCACCUAAUUUGUGCAUGUAAUAUAUGGUGUUGUUAAUAUUAUUGUUUGAGCCGUUGCAAGUAUUAGUGAUGUACUAAUGAGUUUACAUAUAACGUUUAUGUUUGGCUGCUCAAGGCCUGGAGUGCUAAUCAGAAACGACAGAAAGUAUAUACACUGAUCAUUAAACAUAUUUAAUCACUAAAAUUUCCAUAAGCUACUUUGUCAUGAGUCUGCUAAGGG
rnacentral:lncRNA from 1 species